ACUGAAGCUGCAGCAGCAUCUUUGCCGGUAAUUGCCUUCAUUGCGGAAGUCGAGGCCUCAGUGGUUUCUCGGUGGCUGGGUUUUUGUGCGCAUCCCAACUCGGCUUACUCCCCCACGUCUCCGCCUCCGGCAGCAGGCCCCGGGGCCAAUGGCUGCACCGGACACCACGUGGCUGUGGGCAGAGGACGCUCCGACACGCAGGAACGUUCUGACCCACUGCACCUGGAAUCCUGCGCCCUCCGCCCAUCGCGAUGUCCCGAGGAGGCACGGGAAUUGUAGGCGCCCAUGGCGUGGGCGUGGGUUCAUCAUCAUCGUACCACACUACCAUUCAGUAUGAGUAUUGAAAUCUAUACUUGGUGUAUUUGGAGUCUGGAGCCUCAAGAGGACAACAUCCCAGGAAAUCAACUCCAUUUGGAAGGGACUGGCCACUCACAGCUGGAACUAAAGUGAAUCUAGCCCAAGGAGAUGCCAAUAUACUGAAUCACUUGAUCUGAAGCACAGUCAUGAAUUUUCACAGGGAGAUAGUUAGACUUUAUGGCUCAUUCGUCUCCCUUGGAAAGUCAUCUUGUUAUUUUAUCCCAAUUAAAGAUAGUUCUAUUUUAAAAUA